CUCCGAAAGGGUAUCGGAGGCGCUCAAAGGUUCCCUCAGAAUGGUUGGAAACCAUUCGAAGAGUGCAAAGGCAGAAGGGAGCUUGACUGCGACACCGACGGGUGGAGCAGGUACGAAAGUAGGACUUAGUGAUCCGGUGGUAUUAAGUGGGAAUGCCAUCGCUCAACGGAUAAAAGCUACCCUGGGGAUAACAGGCUUAUCACUCCCAAGAGUUCACAUCGACGGAGUGGUUUGGCACCUCGAUGUCGGCUCAUCGCAUCCUGGGGCUGUAGUAGGUCCCAAGGGUUGGGCUGUUCGCCCAUUAAAGCGGUACGCGAGCUGGGUUCAGAACGUCGUGAGACAGUUCGGUCCCUAUCCGGCGUGGGCGUAGGAUAUCUGAGAGGAGCUGUCCUUAGUACGAGAGGACCGGGAUGGACGGACCGCUGGUGUACCUGUUGCAGUGCCAGCUGCAUGGCAGGGUAGCCAAGUCCGGAAGGGAUAAACGCUGAGGCAUCUAAGCGUGAAGCCCCCCUCAAGAUGAGAUAUCCCAUUCGAAAGAAGUAAGACCCCUUGAAGACGACGAGGUAGAUAGGGCAGAGGUGGAAGUGCAGUAAUGUAUGGAGCUGACUGUUACUAAUCGGUCGAGGGUUUGACCUG
rnacentral:rRNA from 1 species